rnacentral:tRNA from 1 species
GGGCGGGUAGCUCAGUUGGUAGAGCACCGUGCUUACACCGCGGUGGUCGCAGGUUCGAGUCCUGUCCCGCCCA